CCCGCGUGCGCCCGGCGCGGCUGCAUGGACUCUCGGGGGGCCGGCGCUGCCGAGAUCCACUUGUCAGUUCAAGGGCAGGACAGAAACUCUGCAAGCGGAGUCUCGCGAACAGGAAAUUUCUCAUUGACAAGGUCUAUUGUAACGAGAAAAACAAGGUGCAGAAGGAAGUGGUGUGUAUAGUAUGCUACAAUUUGGAUUUUAUUUAUUUAUACAUGAGAGACACACAGAGAGAGAGAGAGGCAGAGACACAG